rnacentral:tRNA from 1 species
GCCGGGAUGGCGGAAUUGGUAGACGCUGCAGACUUAAAAUCUGUUGCCCUUUGGGCGUGUGGGUUCAAGUCCCAUUCCCGGCACCA